rnacentral:lncRNA from 10 species
CCUGCUCUCAACUACAACAUCGUUUCAGGCCCUCCAAGCCACAAAACUGUGGUGAAUGGAAAAGAAUGUAUAAACUUCGCCUCAUUUAAUUUUCUUGGAUUGUUGGAUAACCCUAGGGUUAAGGCAGCAGCUUUAGCAUCUCUAAAGAAGUAUGGCGUGGGGACUUGUGGACCCAGAGGAUUUUAUGGCACAUUUGGUAAGUUUUUGUUGUGUUCUCUUUGAGACUACUGCUUUCAAUAGUUAAGAUUCAAUUUUAGGCUGGGCAUGGUGGCUCACACCUGUACUCCCAGCACUUUGGGGAGGCUGAGGUGGGAGGAUUCCUUGAGCCCAGGAAUUUGAUACCAGCAUGGGCAAUAUAG